rnacentral:rRNA from 1 species
GCUGGCGGCAGGCUUAACACAUGCAAGUCGAGCGGGCGUAGCAAUACGUCAGCGGCAGACGGGUGAGUAACGCGUGGGAACGUACCUUUUGGUUCGGAACAACCCAGGGAAACUUGGGCUAAUACCGGAUAAGCCCUUACGGGGAAAGAUUUAUCGCCGAAAGAUCGGCCCGCGUCUGAUUAGCUAGUUGGUGAGGUAACGGCUCACCAAGGCGACGAUCAGUAGCUGGUCUGAGAGGAUGAUCAGCCACAUUGGGACUGAGACACGGCCCAAACUCCUACGGGAGGCAGCAGUGGGGAAUAUUGGACAAUGGGCGCAAGCCUGAUCCAGCCAUGCCGCGUGAGUGAUGAAGGCCCUAGGGUUGUAAAGCUCUUUUGUGCGGGAAGAUAAUGACGGUACCGCAAGAAUAAGCCCCGGCUAACUUCGUGCCAGCAGCCGCGGUAAUACGAAGGGGGCUAGCGUUGCUCGGAAUCACUGGGCGUAAAGGGUGCGUAGGCGGGUCUUUAA